UGGGGAAUAUUGCACAAUGGGCGCAAGCCUGAUGCAGCGACGCCGCGUGGGGGAUGAAGGCCUUCGGGUUGUAAACUCCUUUCGCUAGGGACGAAGCUUUUUGUGACGGUACCUAGAUAAGAAGCACCGGCUAACUACGUGCCAGCAGCCGCGGUAAUACGUAGGGUGCGAGCGUUGUCCGGAAUUACUGGGCGUAAAGGGCUCGUAGGUGGUUUGUCGCGUCGUCUGUGAAAUUCUGGGGCUUAACUCCGGGCGUGCAGGCGAUACGGGCAUAACUUGAGUGCUGUAGGGGUAACUGGAAUUCCUGGUGUAGCGGUGAAAUGCGCAGAUAUCAGGAGGAACACCGAUGGCGAAGGCAGGUUACUGGGCAGUUACUGACGCUGAGGAGCGAAAGCAUGGGUAGCGAACA
rnacentral:rRNA from 1 species